AGUAAGGUCAGCUAAAUAAGCUUUCGGGCCCAUACCCCGAACAUGUUGGUUAAAGUCCUUCCUUUACUA
rnacentral:tRNA from 2 species